CUAUUUCUACUUCUCCUGCUACUUUAUCUCUUUCUUUGUCGUGCUCCUUUUUUUUUGUCUUUCCUGCUCUAUUCUCUGUUCUUCUACUCCCUUUUUCUUUUGUUCUUCUUUCUUUCUUUUCUUUCUGUUCUUCCUCCCAUUUCUUUUGUUCUUCUUCUCCUCUCUUCUUCUGUUCUUCUUCUUCCUUGCCUUUUUUUCUUUCCUCCCCCUCUCUCCAAUUGGCUAUCCUUCUUUUUAUUCUCUUUUGAUUCCAUUUUUUUUUCUCCUUCAAAUUUUUUCUCCGCUUCCACCCUUUUCUUUUUUUCUUCCUAUUUUUUGUCGAAGCGAGCUUCCCGGCAAACUUGCCUUGUCACGCCCCG
rnacentral:lncRNA from 1 species